rnacentral:rRNA from 1 species
CAAGUCGAGGGGCAGCAUUUCAGUUUGCUUGCAAACUGGAGAUGGCGACCGUCGCACGGGUGAGUAACACGUAUCCAACCUGCCGAUAACUCGGGGAUAGCCUUUCGAAAGAAAGAUUAAUACCCGAUGGCAUAAUUAGACCGCAUGGUCUUGUUAUUAAAGAAUUUCGGUUAUCGAUGGGGAUGCGUUCCAUUAGGCAAUUGGUGAGGUAACGGCUCACCAAACCUUCGAUGGAUAGGGGUUCUGAGAGGAAGGUCCCCCACAUUGGAACUGAGACACGGUCCAAACUCCUACGGGAGGCAGCAGUGAGGAAUAUUGGUCAAUGGGCGCAGGCCUGAACCAGCCAAGUAGCGUGAAGGAUGACUGCCCUAUGGGUUGUAAACUUCUUUUAUAUGGGAAUAAAGUUUUCCACGUGUGGAAUUUUGUAUGUACCAUAUGAAUAAGGAUCGGCUAACUCCGUGCCAGCAGCCGCGGUAAUACGGAGGAUCCGAGCGUUAUCCGGAUUUAUUGGGUUUAAAGGGAGCGUAGGUGGACAGUUAAGUCAGUUGUGAAAGUUUGCGGCUCAACCGUAAAAUUGCAGUUGAUACUGGCUGUCUUGAGUACAGUAGAGGUGGGCGGAAUUCGUGGUGUAGCGGUGAAAUGCUUAGAUAUCACGAAGAACUCCGAUUGCGAAGGCAGCUCACUGGACUGCAACUGACACUGAUGCUCAAAAGUGUGGGUAUCAAACAGGAUUAGAUACCCUGGUAGUCCACACAGUAAACGAUGAAUACUCGCUGUUUGCGAUAUACAGUAAGCGGCCAAGCGAAAGCAUUAAGUAUUCCACCUGGGGAGUACGCCGGCAACGGUGAAACUCAAAGGAAUUGACGGGGGCCCGCACAAGCGG